GACAUUUCUCGAGAUGACUCCAUUUGUUGGCUGUUAUGCUUUCGGGGCUUUAUCCUUAUCCAUAAACUCCUUUUGAUGGGGAAAACAUUAUGGCAUUACCUGGCACCCAAAAGUAUUGCAAAUACGAGAUGUUUGAAAGUCUGAUUGAUAAUUAUCUGUCACUAGAUGGUGCAUUGGUAUUUCUCAUAUCUUUAAGAAAAUCUGAAUCAGUGGCACAAAAACUAUUGCACAUAAUCCAACUUAAAAAUCUCUCCUGUUUCUCACCAUCAGUAGACAUGAUUUCUUAAAUUGGAAUGUCAUUUUGAUUUGUUUACCUUCUUUUUCUUACACAUUGGGCAAGUGACUGUUGGGUUUGUUUCUUUAGCUUGUUGCUUCAUCACCUCCUGUAAUGCCUUUGCGCCUCCAUGAUGACACUGGGGAACCAAAUUCAGUCUGGAACUGGUUAGAGCGCUGGUCAGC
rnacentral:lncRNA from 1 species